GGCUUCACAGCUCAGUUGGUAGAGCAUCGGACUAGUAACGCGGAGGUCAUGGUUAAAAUCUCAUUGAAGCCU